rnacentral:tRNA from 1 species
CGUAGUUCAAUGGAUAGAACGAGUGCCUCCUAAGCGCUAGAUACAGGUUCGAUUCCUGUCGGAGGCACCA